UCUGGAUAUGGGAGUGUAGUAUUUAUUUCAUCCAUUGCAGGUUUAAAAGCUAUUCCUGUUGCAUCUGUCUAUGGCGCCACAAAAGGUACAUUUUUCUUUUCUAUUUUUUUCUUUAGUGUAAAAGAGAAUCAAAGCAAAAACGUGUUAUUUUCCUUAAUAAUUGAAAUAUCUAAUUUUCAUCCUUGAAUUCUUAAAAAAAAUGCUAAAAAAGAAUGUAAGUCUAAUUAUUGUUCCAAUUAUAAUUCAAUCUUGAAAAAAAUAUUACAUUUGAUUGUGAUAAAAUAUGUAAAUAAAAAACAUUUGGCUUUAAUGCGGUUUUGAUCCCCCUAUUUUGAAAAACCUGAACUUUUGAUCCCCCUAUUUUAAAACUCAGCACUUUUGAUCCCCCUAUUUUAGUUUUUUGUUAGUUUUAGUCCCCCACCUCAAUUUGGUCAAACUUUUGCUUAUGUGUCAUGCUCACUUAUGAUGUGGCAUUGUACAUGUGGACAAACAAUUUCCUUAGAUAGUGUCCCGAGCC
rnacentral:lncRNA from 1 species